rnacentral:rRNA from 1 species
AGCUCCAAUAGCGUAUAUUAAAGUUGUUGCAGUUAAAAAGCUCGUAGUUGGAUUUCUGGCUCGGCGCUCUCUGUCCGCCGCCGUUAGGUGUGUGAGUACGGAGGUGUGCCUGCCAUCCUUCCGGGGAGGCCGUCUGCCCUUCACUGGGUUGGGCGGUCGACCUGGAUCGUUUACUUUGAAAAAAUUAGAGUGUUUAAAGCAGGCGUUUGCUCUGAAUACAUUAGCAUGGAAUAAUAAAAUAGGACUUUGGUUCUAUUUUGUUGGUUUCUAGGACUGAAGUAAUGAUUGAUAGGGACAGUUGGGGGUGCUAGUAUUCGGCGGCCAGAGGUGAAAUUCUUGGAUUCGCUGAAGACUAACUAAUGCGAAAGCAUUCACCAAGGAUGUCUUCU